GAAAUGCGAUAAGUAAUGUGAAUUGCAGAAUUCAGUGAAUCAUCGAAUCUUUGAACGCACCUUGCGCUCCUUGGUAUUCUUUGGAGCAUGCUUGUUUGAGUAUCAUGAAAUCUUCAAAGUAAAUCUUUUGUUAACUCAAUUGGUUUCUACUUUGGUAUUGGAGGUCUUUGCAGCUUCACACCUGCUCCUCUUUGUUCAUUAGCUGGAUCUCAGUGUUAUGCUUGGUUCCACUCGGCGUGAUAAGUUAUCUAUCGCUGAGGACACUGUAAAAGGUGGCCAAGGUAAAUGCAGAUGAACCGCUUCUAAUAGUCCAUUGACUUGGACAAUACUUUUAUGAUCUGAUCUCAAAUCAGGUAGGACUACCCGCUGAACUUAAGC
rnacentral:misc_RNA from 1 species